CGCUUUUGUGCGCUUCUGAAGGUACAGUAGUCACAUGAUCCAAACGGGAACAAACUCCAUUAGAACUCUUGAUAGUGCAUACAUAGUGAUCUAGCUCUGAGCGCAACAUGAUCAUCGACAGAAUUAUCGAGAACGGCCUGAAUCUUGUGCAUCCAGGGACUGUUGUAACGAGCCCCGUGUAUUUGGGGUCUUUUUACCAGGAUACCUCACCUGCAACGGAGAUCAACAACUCUCUCUGUGCGCCAAACGAGUUUGAUGGCUGGGGUAAGGUUGGGAGCCCGACUCCGCCAACUGCAGACAGUGCCACGAACGAGUGUUGCAUGAGUGAGGUGCGGUCUUUUGGCCGUUUCCAAGGUGUGCGGGUGAAGAAUACAGUGAAAGAACUCAUCAUGCAGAAGCGCCUUAGCAACCAAAAUGUACAGCAACACUCUGAGGGAGAAUACACAGAGUUGACCUCCCUUCUUCAAGGGCAUAAGAGGACUGCGGACUUCAGCUUGAUAACCCAUUCACCUGCUAAAAGACUUGCUACUGCAAAGGCAAUCCUGAGUCUGAGCCCUCCAGAGGGAAGCACACUGGACAUUGACUUCAUGGAACUUGGAUAUGAGUCCAUGAAAUCAGAGACCUCCCCACAAGAGACCCUCCCUGACUACUUCAGCCACAUCGACUAUCAGUCCCUCUACCCUCAAACCCACAUGCCACAAGCAAUGGGAAACUCCUAUGUCCCCCAGCAUUUCAUAGCCCCGCUAACCCAAAAGGGUGUUUGGCCAUUGGCUCAGUUUGCUGAAGGGGAGCCGACGUCCUUCUUUCAAUGGCAGAUACGACAGGAAGAGGAGAAGUUGGCGGGGCUCACCCCCGAGAUGCUCACAAGCCAGGAUAAUGAUGGAGACACAUUCUUGCACAUAGCUGUGGCACAGGGCAGAAGGGCUCUAGCUUAUGUGCUGGCCAGCAAGAUGGCUACUGUCGGCAUGCUGGAUAUGAAGGAGCACAAUGGCCAGAGUGCCCUUCAAUUGAGCGUUGCAGCCAAUCAACAUCUGAUAGUGCAGGACCUGUUGGCCCAGGGGGCUCAGAUCAACACCACUGACUGCUGGGGCCGCACCCCUCUGCAUGUGUGUGCAGAGAAGGGCCACGCUCUCACUCUCCAGACCAUCCAUAGAGCUCUGAAGGGUAAAGGGCAGGAGCUUAGUGUGGAAGAAGUCAACUAUGAUGGCCUAACUCCACUUCAGACAGCGGUCCGGUCUCACAAUGCGGUUGUCCAGGAGUUGGGCCGUAUGGCGGCGACCCCCCAGUCCCCUGGGGAGGUGGAGUUGAUGCAGAGAAGGAAGCUACUGAGGCAGUGUGUCAACACACUGCUCCUCAUGGGAGCCUCCUGUGCAACUAAGGAUCAUAAAAGUGGCCGCACCUCCCUGCACAUGGCUUCUCAGGAGGCCAAUGUGGAGCUUUUACGCAUCUUCCUCGACCAGCCAGACUCUCUGUCUAUCGUCAAUGUCAAGGUGAGAUACUACUACAGUACCUAAUGUCAAGGUGAGAUACUACUACAGUACCUAAUGUCAAGGUGAGAUACUGCUACAGUACCUAAUGUCAAGGUGAGAUACUGCUACAGUACCUAAUGUCAAGGUGAGAUACUGCUACAGUACCUAAUGUCAAGGUGAGAUACUACUACAGUACCUAAUGUCAAGGUGAGAUACUACUACAGUACCUAAUGUCAAGGUGAGAUACUACUACAGUACCUAAUGUCAAGGUGAGAUACUACUACAGUACCUAAUGUCAAGGUGAGAUACUGCUACAGUACCUAAUGUCAAGGUGAGAUACUACUACAGUACCUAAUGUCAAGGUGAGAUACUACUACAGUACCUAAUGUCAAGGUGAGAUACUGCUACAGUACCUAAUGUCAAGGUGAGAUACUACUACAGUACCUAAUGUCAAGGUGAGAUACUACUACAGUACCUAAUGUCAAGGUGAGAUACUGCUACAGUACCUAAUGUCAAGGUGAGAUACUACUACAGUACCUAAUGUCAAGGUGAGAUACUACUACAGUACCUAAUGUCAAGGUGAGAUACUACUACAGUACCUAAUGUCAAGGUGAGAUACUGCUACAGUACCUAAUGUCAAGGUGAGAUACUGCUACAGUACCUAAUGUCAAGGUGAGAUACUACUACAGUACCUAAUGUCAAGGUGAGAUACUGCUACAGUACCUAAUGUCAAGGUGAGAUACUACUACAGUACCUAAUGUCAAGGUGAGAUACUACUACAGUACCUAAUGUCAAGGUGAGAUACUGCUACAGUACCUAAUGUCAAGGUGAGAUACUACUACAGUACCUAAUGUCAAGGUGAGAUACUACUACAGUACCUAAUGUCAAGGUGAGAUACUGCUACAGUACCUAAUGUCAAGGUGAGAUACUACUACAGUACCUAAUGUCAAGGUGAGAUACUACUACAGUACCUAAUGUCAAGGUGAGAUACUACUACAGUACCUAAUGUCAAGGUGAGAUACUGCUACAGUACCUAAUGUCAAGGUGAGAUACUGCUACAGUACCUAAUGUCAAGGUGAGAUACUACUACAGUACCUAAUGUCAAGGUGAGAUACUGCUACAGUACCUAAUGUCAAGGUGAGAUACUACUACAGUACCUAAUGUCAAGGUGAGAUACUACUACAGUACCUAAUGUCAAGGUGAGAUACUGCUACAGUACCUAAUGUCAAGGUGAGAUACUACUACAGUACCUAAUGUCAAGGUGAGAUACUACUACAGUACCUAAUGUCAAGGUGAGAUACUGCUACAGUACCUAAUGUCAAGGUGAGAUACUACUACAGUACCUAAUGUCAAGGUGAGAUACUACUACAGUACCUAAUGUCAAGGUGAGAUACUACUACAGUACCUAAUGUCAAGGUGAGAUACUGCUACAGUACCUAAUGUCAAGGUGAGAUACUGCUACAGUACCUAAUGUCAAGGUGAGAUACUACUACAGUACCUAAUGUCAAGGUGAGAUACUACUACAGUACCUAAUGUCAAGGUGAGAUACUGCUACAGUACCUAAUGUCAAGGUGAGAUACUACUACAGUACCUAAUGUCAAGGUGAGAUACUACUACAGUACCUAAUGUCAAGGUGAGAUACUACUACAGUACCUAAUGUCAAGGUGAGGUCUCGCCUCUCUCUGGAAAACAAACGUACAUGAUAACAAAUCGGCGUUCUGGCUCAAAUUCUGAGCUGACAAACAGUGUUCCCAUUGUUCAUUGUUUUUUGGUCAUCAGGAGGUAAGUUAACUAAACCCUCUAACAUGAGUUCUGUCUACCAGGCAUUCAGUGGAAACACAGCACUGCACUUUGCCAGUUCUGUGCAUGGUCGCCUGACUCAGGUAGAUGCUGUGAAACUGCUGAUGAGGAGAGGGGCCGACCCCAGCUCCAAGAACCUGGAGAAUGAGCAGCCUGCCCAGCUG